rnacentral:rRNA from 1 species
UACGUAGGGUGCAAGCGUUAAUCGGAAUUACUGGGCGUAAAGCGUGCGCAGGCGGUUUGGUAAGACAGAUGUGAAAUCCCCGGGCUUAACCUGGGAAUUGCAUUUGUGACUGCCCGGCUAGAGUUUGGCAGAGGGGGGUAGAAUUCCACGUGUAGCAGUGAAAUGCGUAGAUAUGUGGAGGAAUACCGAUGGCGAAGGCAGCCCCCUGGGUCAAGACUGACGCUCAUGCACGAAAGCGUGGGGAGCAAACAGG